rnacentral:lncRNA from 1 species
GCAGUCUUCUUCCUCGUACAGACCUUCUAUGCCUCGCCGGAAUCCCUCGCCGGCGGGAAACGCUACCUACGCCAAUGGCCACCAGAUAAACACCAUAGGUUCUCUAUGAACUCCUCUUUCCAACCCCCAUAAUGUCUUCCGUCAAAUAUUACCUGAGCUCGUCGAAUCUCCGAUCAAAGUUUUCCGGCCAAGUCACAAAAUAGCCCAAAUCUGACCAAAUUCAUACCCUACCCACCCUUGACCCCCCUCACCCUUAAUCCCCAACCAAAUUGUUCGAAUCCUCUCACAUCGUCUAGAAUUUCAAUUCUCUGGUCUGUACCCCUAAAUGCUAAACUGCUCGAGUUUUCUCCAUUUUCUAGAAGUCCAAAAUUUUAGUCGAGCCUUGAGAUAAUGUGUUCAUGUGUUCUUGUGAAGGGCAUAUGUUUACAUCAUUUCUACGCUCGAUUUGGCGGUUCAACGUAUUUUAAUCUGGCCUCAAUAAGUUUCCUUCUUCGUUAUCAUUCAGUCUGUGUUUAAAGGUAGUUAACCUUAAUUUAGUUUUCUAUUAGGUUAGGUUAAUUCAAUAAGCGUUUUGCUUGUUUUCUAAUUUUUUAUUAGUUUGAAUGAUCGAAUGUUAGUUUAAUUAAUCCGCUAGUUUUAGUUUAAAUUGGUUUCGAUUUUAUUGUAUUAAUUAUUUGUAGUAGCCUUUUCUGGUCGUGAUUGGAUUAGAGUUAAGUAGGCAUUCAAUAGUUAAUUCCUUGCUUCGAAAACAGUGUUGAGUAGCUGAUUGAAUUAGUAAUAGUUGAAUUGAUUUCUUCGAAUCUAUUUGUUUUCAUUUAGUUUGGCUAAGCUGAGUUAGCUUGUUAAUAAUUGAAAUGGUAAUUUACAGGGGAAUCAAGGAUUGUUUGGUCAUUGGUAUAUAGGGAAUAUAUUCUGUUUCGAAGGAAGUUUUUAGAAAGGAAGGGGGGUCACAUGUGGGGAAAUUAGACAUUUUAUCUAUGGGAGGAAGUAACUAUACCAAUUUGGUUAUAAAGUCACGGUUUUGGCUUUGUAAAGGGGGACAGAUUCACAAUGAGAAAAAAUUCUGAAAAAACUCUCUCAAAACCUAAUUUGAGAGAAGAAAAUUCAAGUUUAGGCAGCCGAAAAAUCCCUCAAAAGUUCUUCAAGUCUUGGAGAUCUGAAAUUUGAAUCCAGACUUUAGAUUUCAUCUCUCUUCAUAUUCAGAAUGCAAAAAGAAUCAAAAACAAUAGAAAACCAAAACAAAGUCACUGUUCUAUUGGUUAUGUUAGAUUAAAUUAAAGUUUGAGUAGUGUAAUUCGAUCUUUGGAUUCAACAAAGGGUUGAUGAGAAUUAGAAGCUGUCUACAUUUUCUUUCGAGUUCAUUUUGUUGUUGUUUUGGGUGCUGAGGUUCAAGUUUCUUUUGGUCUAUUAUUUCAAGUUCAUUUGGGGUGUAGUUGAGUGUUGAAAUUGCUACUAAAGUUCUGAGUUCGUUCCUGGACCUUUCAGCAAAAAUUCCCAUAGAAAAGCUCCUUUUCCUUCAGUUUUCAAUUCCAGAUUAGCUUUGGCAUUCAAUCACCCAAAAAUAAAAAAAUAAAAACAUUCAGAAAUGGAAAAACCAUAAAUAUGUCUACUGUUUCAUUGAUUUUCAGCUGCUGAUGUCUGGAAUCUCUGAGAUUUGAAGUAUUCUCUAGUUCAUUUGAGCUUAUUUGGGGUGUAUUUUUGAUGGCUGGUGUCUGUUGAUGUGGUUUGGUUUCAAGUGGGUUGAAAUUUUCUACUGCUGAUGUCUGGAAUCUCUAAGAUUUGAAGUAUUCUCUGGUUCAUUUGAGCUUAUUUGGGGGUGUAUUUCUGAUGGCUGGUGUCUGUUGAUGUGGUUUGGUUUCAAGUGGGUUGAAAUGGAUUCCUUCUGAUUGUUUCUGGGUAGAUUUUACUUCUGAAACAUUAAUGUUAUUGCUUUGUAUGUCGAUCCUCACUCUUCUUUCUAUUCUCUCGAAUUCCAGGUACACAGCUCUGUACUUCUGUUGUAAAUUUGAGCUCAUGUCAAUAUAGCUCGGUAGAUUUUACUGCUGAAACAUUGCUACUAUUGCUUUGUCUGUCGAUCCUCACUAUUCUUUCUGUUCUCUCGAAUUCUAGGUACCCAGCUCUAUACUUCUGCUGUGAUUUUGAGCUCAAGUCCUGGAAUAAAAUGUCCACCUGUUGGUCUUGUUUGAUAUUCUGAAUUAGUUGUACUUUGAAUUGUACUGAUCUGCACAUUUGCUAGAUAACAUUUCUAAUCAAACUUGGACUGCUCGACUGAUGUUCAUUCAUGUGUUAGAUAUAGCGUAGCUUUAUCAUUACGUAUUGUAAUCGUUAAUUUUCAAGUGCCUCAUAAAGAAAAUGAAUUCGAGCUUCCUGUAUUGCAUUAGUCAAGGAAUAGGAACGGAAGUGGGUAGUGUUCUGUUAUCAUAUUGUUUAAGUGUUGAUUAGGAGUUGGUAAUUACAGGAUAAGAAGAUAGUCUGCGUGUAUCACUCUUUAUUCUUUGAAUAACAAGCAAAUUCAUAAUUGAUGGA